GAAAGUAAGCAAGGGCAGACGGUGGAUGCCUUGGCUCUCGGAGGCGAUGAAGGACGUGAUAAGCUGCGAAAAGCCCGGGGGAGAUGCAAAUAAUCCUAGAUCCCGGGAUUUCCGAAUGGGGCAACCCGGCAGGCAGGAGGCCUGCCACCAUGCAAAUGGGGCGAACGCGGGGAACUGAAACAUCUAAGUACCCGCAGGAGAAGAAAACAAAAGUGAUUCCGCAAGUAGUGGCGAGCGAACGCGGAACAGCCCAAACCGGUGCCGUUUCGGCGGCGCCGGGGUUGUAGGACCACGCCGUGGCAAGACGGCAGGACAGCGGAAGGCGUUGGAAAACGCCGCCAAAGACGGUGAAAGCCCGGUACGCGCCAUCCUGCCCAAGCCUAGUGGCAUCCUGAGUAACGCGGAGCACGAGGAAUUCUGCGCGAAACAGCGGGGCCCAUCCCGCAAGGCUAAAUACUCCCGGGAGACCGAUAGCGAACCAGUACCGUGAGGGAAAGGUGAAAAGAACCCCGAACAGGGGAGUGAAACAGACCCUGAACCCGUCUGCCUACAAGCGGUCGGAGCACCAUUCAGGUGUGACGGCGUGCCUUUUGCAUAAUGAACCUACGAGUUACUUCCAGUGGCGAGGUUAAGGCGUUCAGCGCCGCAGCCGAAGCGAAAGCGAGUCUGAAAAGGGCGUCGAGUCACUGUGAGUAGACGCGAAACCAAGUGAUCUACCCUUGGCCAGGAUGAAGGUUGGGUAACACCAACUGGAGGUCCGUAUGGUUAUACGUUGAAAAGUGUUCCAAUGAGCUGAGGGUAGGGGUGAAAGGCUAAUCAAACUUGGAGAUAGCUCGUACUCCCCGAAAUGCAUUUAGGUGCAGCCUGCCGGCAGUAUUGCACGAGGUAGAGCGACUGAUUGGAUGCGAGGGCUUCGCCGCCUAUCAAGUCCAGACAAACUCCGAAUGCGCGCAAUACAUUCCGGUGGAGUGAGGGCGCGGGUGCUAAGGUCCGCGUCCGAGAGGAGAAGAAUCCAGACCACCUGCUAAGGCCCCGAAAUGGUGCCUGAGUUGAGAAAACGAAGUCGGACUGCAGAGACAGCUAGGAUGUUGGCUUGGAAGCAGCCAUUCAUUUAAAGAGUGCGUAACAGCUCACUAGUCGAGGAGUCCGGCAUGGAUAAUAAUCGGGCAUAAGGCAUCUGCCGAAGCAGUGGAUCACGCAAGUGAUGGUAGGGGAGCAUUCCAUGUGCGUGGAAGGUCGGGGACGACCCCGGUUGGAGCGCAUGGAAAAGCAAAUGUAGGUAUAAGUAACGAUAAAGGAAGCGAGAAACUUCCUCGCCGAAAGACUGAGGUUUCCUGAUCAACGCUAAUCGGAUCAGGGUAAGUCGGGACCUAAGGAUAAGCCGAACGGCGAAGCCGAUGGAAGAAACGGUCAAUAUUCCGUUACUACUGUAUUGGGUGAAGCGGGGACGGAGAAGUGAAAGCCCUGCCGGCUGACGGAAUAGCCGGUUGAAGGGUGUAGGUGCAGAUGGCCGCAGGCAAAUCCGCGGCUUGAGCCGAACCUGAGAGUAUGCCAAGCGCUUGCGCGAGGCAAGAUGGGCGUAAUCCGGCUCCCUAGAAAAUCCGCUAAACAUAACCAUUACAGUACCCGUACCGCAAACGGACACACGUAGUUGGGUUGAAAAUACUGAGGCGCUCGAGUGAUUCACGGUUAAGGAACUAGGCAAAAUGGUCCUGUAACUUCGGGAUAAAGGACGCCAAUCUCAAGAUUGGCCGCAGAGAAUAGGCCCAGGCGACUGUUUAACAAAAACACAUGGCUAUGCGAAAUAGUGAACAUGAAGUAUAUAGCCUGACACCUGCCCGGUGCCGGAAGGUUAAGAGGAGAUGUCACCGCAAGGGAAGCAUUGAAUUGAAGCCCCGGUAAACGGCGGCCGUAACUAUAACGGUCCUAAGGUAGCGAAAUUCCUUGUCGGGUAAGUUCCGACCUGCACGAAUGGUGUAACGAUCUGGGCACUGUCUCAACCGUGAGCUCGGUGAAAUUGUAGUAUCGGUGAAGAUGCCGAUUACCCGCGAUGGGACGAAAAGACCCCGUGAACCUUUACUAUAGCUUUACAUUGCGUUUGGGCAACCGAUGUGUAGGAUAGGCCGGAGGCUAUGAAUCGGGCACGCCAGUGCCAGUGGAGCCGGCGUUGAAAUACGGCCCUUUGGUUGUUUGAACCCUAACCCGUUAAACGGGGACACUGUAUGGCGGGUAGUUUGACUGGGGUGGUCGCCUCCAAAAGCGUAACGGAGGCUUCUAAAGGUGCCCUCAGACCGAUUGGUAACCGGUCGGAGAGUGUAAUGGCAUAAGGGCGCUUGACUGGGAGACAUACAAGUCGAUCAGGUAGGAAACUAGAGCAUAGUGAUCCGGUGGUUCCGCAUGGAAGGGCCAUCGCUCAAAGGAUAAAAGGUACUCCGGGGAUAACAGGCUGAUCCCUCCCAAGAGCUCAUAUCGACGGAGGGGUUUGGCACCUCGAUGUCGGCUCGUCACAUCCUGGGGCUGGAGAAGGUCCCAAGGGUUGGGCUGUUCGCCCAUUAAAGUGGCACGCGAGCUGGGUUCAGAACGUCGUGAGACAGUUCGGUCUCUAUCUAUCGUGGGCGCAGGAAAUUUGCGGGGAUCUGACACUAGUACGAGAGGACCGUGUUGGACAGACCUCUGGUCUGCCGGUUGUACCGCCAGGUGCACCGCCGGGUAUCUAAGUCUGGAUUGGAUAAGUGCUGAAAGCAUCUAAGCACGAAGCCAGCCCCAAGAUUAGAUUUCCUCAUAGGGUCGUCAAAGACGAUGACGUUGAUAGGUCGCAGGUGUAAGGCCAGCAAUGGCGAAGCCGAGCGAUACUAAUAGCCCGAAACUUUCAUGUC
rnacentral:rRNA from 1 species